CUGUGGAGUUCGGAAAGAGAAUUAUUCCCUGGUUUGUUGGGGUAAUGAGAUAUUGGACUCUAACUUAACGGUGUUUGAUGAAGUAAUCCCAGGACCAUGUACAAAUAGCUGUCAAAAUACACAUGCUAUGUUAGCAGGAUCAGGCAAGUUUUGCCCCCAAGGAUUUUUUAUUUGUCAUGAUAAUACUAAUACCAUUACUCCACCGCCACCAACCGUGCCACCACCACCGGCUCCACCAUUAGCACCAUGUUGGCCGCCAUCGACGCCUCCAGGGGGAUCAACAAGUAGUGAAUGGAGUAACAAGAUGAUAGCUUUCCUAGUAGUGGGCUGUGUGGGAUCCACUGUUUUGUUGCUAGCCGCUGGCUU
rnacentral:misc_RNA from 1 species